rnacentral:lncRNA from 1 species
UCAGCCACUUAUUAUAAAAAAGUCAAAACCCAGUGGGUGUUUGAACAACAUUCUAUUUUCAGCUCUUCCCCUCAACCUGUCCUUUCUGCUUUUGUUAACAAGAGAUUUUUCAUUUGUUUCUAGUCAUCAUUUCUACAUUCUUCAAUGCAGUUCCAUCUAAUCACUGUCUGCCUACUCCCUCCAUUUAACUGGAAUGGUAUUUGGAAAAGAAACAUGUCUUAAUAACUGCGAAUUAACUGCCCUGCAGUUCCAUUCAAUCGAUGUGCUCGUCCGUUCCAUCGAACUUGAAGAGUAGUUGGAAACAUGAUAUCAACAAGUACGGGAAGGAACUAAUCAGCAUGUGGAUCCAUUCCAUCUUCCUAGGCCUGAUUCAUCCAAUGAAAUAACAGUAGCCGAGAACAUGCAACGAAUUAGCAAUCAGAUCCAAAGCAUCCCAAUGUGGUGAAGCGAAACCAAAAGACAACCUGAG